AUUUUUUCUUCUUCUUUUUAGUGAUUGUUAAGGCAAGUAGUGG
rnacentral:sRNA from 1 species